rnacentral:rRNA from 1 species
GCGCACUGCGUGCUGGACGCGGAGGUAAAACGUGGAGGGGAAGAGGUCUACGGUGGUACUGGGCGUAGAGCGCACGCAGUCGGCUGAGGAAGUCGGACGUGAAAGGUCCUGGCUUAACGGGGAGAGGUCGAGCGAAACGGGGCGGCUUGAGGUGGGAAGAGGAGAGCGGAAUGCCCGGGGUAGUGGUGGAAGGCGUAGAUAUCGGGAGGAACACCAGUGGCGAAAGCGGCUCUCUGGUCCACACCUGACGCUCAGGUGCGAAAGCGUGGGUAGCGAACGGGAUUAGAUACCCUGGUAGUC